rnacentral:rRNA from 1 species
UACGUAGGGUGCAAGCGUUGUCCGGAAUUAUUGGGCGUAAAGAGCUCGUAGGCGGCCUGUCACGUCGGCUGUGAAAACCCGGGGCUCAACCCCGGGCCUGCAGUCGAUACGGGCAGACUAGAGUGUGGUAGGGGAGACUGGAAUUCCUGGUGUAGCGGUGAAAUGCGCAGAUAUCAGGAGGAACACCGGUGGCGAAGGCGGGUCUCUGGGCCGUAACUGACGCUGAGGAGCGAAAGCGUGGGGAGCGAACAGG